rnacentral:rRNA from 1 species
AUGGGGCUCCACGUGCUGGUGGCGUUCGCGGCGGCGAGGGGCUUCGCGCAGGUGCUCCACGUCUCGGCGCGGCUGCUGUGGCCGCUCAACCCCUGCCCCCCGCUCGCCCGCCACCUGCCGGAGGCCUGCGCCGUCGUCUGCGGCGCGCUCGCCGCCCACCUCGCCUGGCUGCGCCGCGCCUACGCGCGCGGUGGCACCGUCUGGGGCCUCCGAAGCCGCGACGACGACGACGUCCUCCGCCAGGCGCUGCUCGACGUCUUCUACUGA